AAGACACUAGUAAAAUGGUAUAUUACACUGCCUUGUCGAGGCAGAGUUGUGGGUUAGACCCCCGCGUGUCUUG
rnacentral:tRNA from 1 species